UUCCAGGGGCGGGAAUCGAACCCACGACCUUCCGCUUACCGGGCAGAUGACAUGUCCACUAGGCUACCCUGGA